GACGAACGCUGGCGGCGCGCCUAACACAUGCAAGUCGAACGAGCGAGAGAGAGCUUGCUUUCUCGAGCGAGUGGCGAACGGGUGGGUAACGCGUGAGGAACCUGCCUCAAAGAGGGGGACAACAGUUGGAAACGACUGCUAAUACCGCAUAAGCCCACGGUGCCGCAUGGCACAGAGGGAAAAGGAGCAAUCCGCUUUGAGAUGGCCUCGCGUCCGAUUAGCUAGUUGGUGAGGUAAUGGCCCACCAAGGCGACGAUCGGUAGCCGGACUGAGAGGUUGAACGGCCACAUUGGGACUGAGACACGGCCCAGACUCCUACGGGAGGCAGCAGUGGGGAAUAUUGCACAAUGGGGGAAACCCUGAUGCAGCGACGCCGCGUGGAGGAAGAAGGUCUUCGGAUUGUAAACUCCUGUUGUUGGGGAAGAUAAUGACGGUACCCAACAAGGAAGUGACGGCUAACUACGUA
rnacentral:rRNA from 1 species